UAAUACGGAGAGUGCGAGCGUUAUCCGGAAUCACUAGGCGUAAAGGGAGCGUAGGCGUCUUGUCAAGUUCCCGGUGGAAUCUCCGGGCUUAACCCGGAACUUGCGGGGAAAACUGACAGGAUUGAGUUAAAGAUGGGAGAGUGGAAUUCCUGGUGGAGCGGUGAAAUGUGUAGAUAUCAGGAAGAAUACCGAUGGCGAAGGCGACUCUCUGGCUUUAAACAGACGCUGAUUCUCGAAAGCGUGGGUAGCAAACGGGAUUAGAGACCCCGGUAGUCCACGCCCUAAACGAUGAAUACUAGAUAUCGGUGGUAACCAAUCUAUCGGUGUCGCAGCUAACGCGUUAAGUAUUCCGCCUGGGGACUACGGCCGCAAGGCUA
rnacentral:rRNA from 1 species